CUCCUCAACUGUCUUGUGAUCAGGCUGCGGAGUUCACUAUUGUUCGACGAUUUUGAAGAUGAUAGUCAAGAUCUGGAGCCUUGAUAAAACAAUAAAGAAACUGGCAGUGGUUGCCACUUUCGACGCCUUAAAGAAAAAGGCCAUAGAGUUCGGUAUAUGCUGCAAUGGAGACAUCAAGGUACACAUGCUGGAUGGAACGGAGGUGGACGAAGAAGCUUUCAAUUGUUUGAAUCAGUCACCUGAGGAUGCUACUUACACCUUCAUUGCA